rnacentral:rRNA from 1 species
GACGAACGCUGGCGGCGUGCCUAAUACAUGCAAGUCGAACGAGAGCGACCGGUGCUUGCACUGGUCAAUCUAGUGGCGAACGGGUGAGUAACACGUGGGUAACCUGCCCAUCAGAGGGGGAUAACAUUCGGAAACGGAUGCUAAAACCGCAUAGGUUCUACAGUCGCAUGACUGAAGAAGGAAAAGAGGCUUCGGCUUCUGCUGAUGGAUGGACCCGCGGUGCAUUAGCUAGUUGGUGAGGUAACGGCUCACCAAGGCCGUGAUGCAUAGCCGACCUGAGAGGGUGAUCGGCCACAUUGGGACUGAGACACGGCCCAAACUCCUACGGGAGGCAGCAGUAGGGAAUCUUCCGCAAUGGACGCAAGUCUGACGGAGCAACGCCGCGUGAGUGAAGAAGGAUUUCGGUUCGUAAAACUCUGUUGUUAGAGAAGAACAGCGCAUAGAGUAACUGUUAUGCGUGUGACGGUAUCUAACCAGAAAGCC